GCGGGACUGCGGGGCUAGGGCAGCCUGCAGGGUCCCGUCUGGAGCCGGGUGAGAAGGGGCUGCCCGACCCAUGCUUCUGUCCGCCCCUGACCCUCGGCCUGCCGCUCUGUUUUGGGGGACUGUGCCCACCUGCCCUGUGGCACAUCGUGGGAGCGAUGCUCGGGCAGAGUGGUAAAAUCAUGUGGUCCCGGCAUUGAAAAACGCCUUCUUCUGAAUGAGGACUAAACGGAGUUCAGAAGUAUCCUACCACAGCUCUGUCUGCCUGGCACCAAUAGAAGACAUACUUCUGAAAGUGUUAUAAAAAUAAUUCCCCUGUCACAAAAGCAGCACAUUAAAAGUACUUAUAUUAAAAGCA